UUACAGGUUUUUUUUAAAACCAUAUCCAUUGUCUCCACGGUGUACU
rfam:Myotis lucifugus cont2.8800, whole genome shotgun sequence.